CCUACGGGAGGCAGCAGUGGGGAAUAUUGGACAAUGGGCGCAAGCCUGAUCCAGCAAUGCCGCGUGUGUGAAGAAGGCCUGCGGGUUGUAAAGCACUUUCGGUUGGGAAGAAGCUUUGUUGGUUAACACCCAACAUGGUUGACACUACCUUCAGAAGAAGCACCGGCUAACUCCGUGCCAGCAGCCGCGGUAAUACGGAGGGUGCGAGCGUUAAUCGGAAUUACUGGGCGUAAAGCGCGCGUAGGCGGUUGUGUAAGUCGGAUGUGAAAGCCCUGGGCUUAACCUAGGAACUGCAUUCGAUACUGCAUAGCUAGAGUAUGGUAGAGGAAAGCGGAAUUCCCGGUGUAGCGGUGAAAUGCGUAGAUAUCGGGAGGAACAUCAGUGGCGAAGGCGGCUUUCUGGACCAAUACUGACGCUGAGGUGCGAAAGCGUGGGUAGCAAGCAGGAUUAGAUACCCUGGUAGUCCACGCCCUAAACGAUGUCAACUAGCCGUUAGGUUCAUUUAAGAGCUUAGUGGCGCAGCUAACGCGAUAAGUUGACCGCCUGGGGAGUACGGCCGCAAGGUUAAACUCAAAUGAAUUGACGG
rnacentral:rRNA from 1 species